rnacentral:rRNA from 1 species
AUACGGAGGGUGCAAGCGUUAAUCGGAAUUACUGAGCGUAAAGCGUACGUAGGCGGUUCGUUAAGUUAGAUGUGAAAGCCCCGGGCUUAACCUGGGAACUGCAUUUAAAACUGGCGAACUAGAGUUGAGUAGAGGGGAGUGGAAUUUCAGGUGUAGCGGUAAAAUGCGUAGAGAUCCGAAGGAACACCAGUGGCGAAGGCGACUCCCUGGACUCAAACUGACGCUCAGGUACGAAAGCCUGGGUAGCAAACGGGAUUAGAAACCCUAGUAGUCC